CCUACGGGAGGCAGCAGUGGGGAAUCUUGCGCAAUGGGCGAAAGCCUGACGCAGCAACGCCGCGUGCGGGAAGAAGGCUUUCGGGCUGUAAACCGCUUUCAGCAGGAACGAAAAUGACGGUACCUGCAGAAGAAGGAGCGGCCAACUAUGUGCCAGCAGCCGCGGUGAUACAUAGGCUUCAAGCGUUGUCCGGAUUUAUUGGGCGUAAAGAGUUCGUAGGCGGUCGAGUAAGUCGGGUGUGAAAAUUCUGGGCUCAACCCAGAGACGCCACCCGAUACUGCUUAACUUGAGUUCGAUAGGGGAGUGGGGAAUUCCUAGUGUAGCGGUGAAAUGCGCAGAUAUUAGGAGGAACACCGGUGGCGAAGGCGCCACUCUGGAUCGAUACUGACGCUGAGGAACGAAAGCAUGGGUAGCAAACAGGAUUAGAUACCCUGGUAGUCCAUGCCGUAAACGGUGGGCACUAGGUGUGGGAUUCUAUUAACGAAUUCCGCGCCGUCGCUAACGCAUUAAGUGCCCCGCUGGGGAUCGGUCGCAAGCUAAAACUCAAAUGAAUUGACGGCGNGAGACGNGCCGAGACGACGACGAGGGAGUAGG
rnacentral:rRNA from 1 species